GACGAACGCUGGCGGCGUGCCUAAUACAUGCAAGUAGAACGCUGAAGAGAGGAGCUUGCUCUUCUUGGAUGAGUUGCGGACGGGUGAGUAACGCGUAGGUAACCUGCCUUGUAGCGGGGGAUAACUAUUGGAAACGAUAGCUAAUACCGCAUAACAAUAGGUGACACAUGUCAUUUAUUUGAAAGGGGCAAUUGCUCCACUACAAGAUGGACCUGCGUUGUAUUAGCUAGUAGGUGAGGUAACGGCUCACCUAGGCGACGAUACAUAGCCGACCUGAGAGGGUGAUCGGCCACACUGGGACUGAGACACGGCCCAGACUCCUACGGGAGGCAGCAGUAGGGAAUCUUCGGCAAUGGGGGCAACCCUGACCGAGCAACGCCGCGUGAGUGAAGAAGGUUUUCGGAUCGUAAAGCUCUGUUGUAAGUCAAGAACGAGUGUGAGAGUGGAAAGUUCACACUGUGACGGUAGCUUACCAGAAAGGGACGGCUAACUACGUG
rnacentral:rRNA from 1 species